rnacentral:tRNA from 1 species
GACUCCGUGGCGCAACUAUAGUGCGUCUGACUCCAGAUCAGAAAGCUGUGUGUUCAAAUCACGUCAGGGUCA